UGGGUGACGUCACAGGGGAACCAUCGAGCGCCGCCGCGGCCGCCUAGAGCGGCCUCGGCAGUGGCCUCGCUUCCGGCCAUUGUGGGUCCGGGCGCGCGGGUCGGGCCCCCGGCGCGAGACCCUGCGCGUGCCCCGGCGCCAGGCCCCGCCCCUCCCCCCCCCGGAGCGGUGAGUGGGGCCCCAGAACCCCCCGGGGCGGGGGCUGCAGCCGCGGAGGCUUCUGGGAGGAGCCAAAGGGAGGCCAGCGGAGCCAGCCGGGUCACGGGUUCCAAUCCUGCCCCUGCCCUAAUAUUCCCGUGUCUUCAUGGACAGAGCGUGUUAUGGGUGGAUAAACACGGCUCCUCCCUGCGUCAGUCCAGACGGCGGAUCUCGCUUCCCACCAUCCCCGAUGAACCGCCCGGCCGCAGCCGCUCUCACCGAGACCGGCUUCCUGCCUUCCUCUCCCUCUCCGUGAUGACUGGGGGAACAUGUCCGAGGACAGGGAACCCGCCUUCAAGGAAGAAAUCAUGGAAGAGGUAAAGAUUAAUCUGUCGACGGUACAUAUGGAGCGCCUGCCCCCGCGCGGAGCCCGGGUUGAGUCCUGGACUCCCUCAGUUACCCCAUCCGCAGAACGGGGGUAAUAACGUUGGUGUUUGUUAAGCGCUUCCUCUGUGCAGAGCACUGUUCUAAGCGCUGGGGGAGAUACGGGGUCAUCGGGUCGUCCCACGUGAGGCUCACGGUGAAUCCCCGUUUUCCAGACGAGGUAACUGAGGCACAGAGAAGUGAAGCGACUCGCCCACGGUCACACAGCUGACGAGUGGCAGAGCCGGGAGUCCGAACCCAUGACCUCCGACUCCGAAGCCCAGGCUCUUUCCACCGAGAAGACUGUGAGCCCCACGUGGGACAGCCUUGAUGACCCCCAGCGCUUAGAACAGUGCUUGGCACAGAGUAAGCACUUAACCAAUACCCUUAAUUCUAAUAGAGUAGAAUUCCCGAGCAGGACCCGUACCCUCAAGGAGCUUACAGGCUAACAGCAUGUAUUGCCAACUGCGGGCAGAGCGGUGCUCUGAGCACUUGGGAACGUGCUUAGGACGGUGCUUUGCGCACUGUCAGCGCUCAAUACAUAGGAUCGAAUGAAUGAAAGUGCCAGAGAGUUAGAGAUAAAAGCUGAAAUUACGCGGAGGGAGAGGGAUGGAGGAGGAGGAGGGAAUGGCAGUGCAUCGGGGGUCCUGAGUGAAGAGAGACUGAGCUGAGUAGUCCCUGGAAUGAAAAGGGGCUACCCUGGGCUAGUUUCUGGGAAGCUCUCUCGGGGUUCUUAGUUACAAUAAUAAUCAUAAAUAAUGGCUUUUGUUAAGCGCUUACUACGUGCCAACCGCUGUUCGGAGCCCUGGGGUAGAUAUAAUCAGGCGGUUCUCCGCGGGGCUCCCGGUCUCGAUCUGUAAAAUGAGGUCACUGAAGCACAGAGAAGUGACUUGCCCGCAGUCACCCCAGCUGACUAGUGGCGGGGGCAGGAUUAGAACCCACGCCCUCUGACUCCCAAGCCCGGGCUCUGUCCGCUAAGCCACACCGCUUCUCUUAUUAUUUAUCCCCCCCACCCCCUGUAGGGAGCAAUGCCCCAGUAUUGGGUGGAAAGGAGAGUUUACCUGGUGGUAUUUAUUGAGCGCUUACUAAAUGUAGAGAACUGUACUGAAAGCAACCGGGAGAGGAUCAUACAACAGGAUUAGCGGGACAGUCAUUCAUUCGAUAGUAUUUAUUGAGCGCUUACUAUGUGCAGAGCACUGUUCUAAGCGCUUGGAACGCACAAAUCGGUAAGAGAGACCGUCCCUGCCCUUUGACGGGUUUAAAGUCUAAUCGGGGGAGACGGACACACAAGAACAAUGGCGAUAAAUCGAAUCGAGACAUGCUCCCUGCCCGUAACGAGCUCAACCAGGAAUAUAACAGUCCUUCACCACGCCCCAGGUGAGGAGCCGUGUGGCCCAGGGGGUGGAGCCAGGGGCCUGGGAGUCAGAAGGAUCUGGAUUCUAAUCCCGCCUCCGCCACUUGACUGCUGCGUGACCAUGGGCCAGUCGCUUCACUUCUCUGUACCUCCGUUGCCACUUCUGUAAAAUGGGCGUUCAGAGUACGAGCCCAUGUGGGACAGGGACUGUGUCCGACCCGAUGAACUUGUCCCUACCCCAGGGCGUGGUAAUAAUUACAAAUGCCGGUAAUUAUUAGUGCUGGGUCUUGGGGACCGCGGGAACUGAGGGGGGGAGGCUUGUGACGUUUCAGGCGUCGGUGACGUUCGAGGACGUGGCCGUGUCCUUCGCCCAUAAAGAGUGGGAGGGUCUGAACCCCGCUCAGCGCAACCUGUACUGGGAUGUGAUGCUGGAAAAUUAUGGGAAACUCGCCUCCCUGGGUAAGUCCUCCGCCCUGUCGGGUGAACGUCUGUGUGUUUGUGUGUGUGUGUGUGUGUGAGAGAGAGAGGAAAGAGAGAAAAAGGGAGAGAAGAGAGUUUUGGUCUCGUUCCCGCAGCCUUCCCCCACCUUCUUCCCCCACCUUCUUCCCCUUGAGCCCAUGCCUCCCCCAAGCCCCUCGUCCGGUGCUUUGCACUCAGUUAAGCACUCCGUAAAUACGAUCGAACGAAUGAGCCGUCCAGCCCGACCCCCGGCUUUGAGACGGGGGCCUGGGGUAGGUCAGAUUCAGAAGAUUUAGAAUCUUUUCCUGACCCACAGCCCAGAGAGGGCAGACGGGAUAAACGUUGCCGGGGAUAAGGUGUCCGCUCCCGGACCCUCCCCCACAUUUUGGGGUCCGCCCGCCAGGAUCCCGGACCCUCGGGUCCUCCUCACCUGUGCCGGCUCCCAUCCCGUCAGCCGCUGAGGCCCCAGUAGGCGGGACCGAGCUCUGGGAGAUCUCUGAGGGGGACACCGAAGCACAGCGUCUGGUUUCCCUCCCCACGAACAGGGU
rnacentral:lncRNA from 1 species